rnacentral:rRNA from 1 species
UUCCGGUUGAUCCUGCCGGAGGCCACUGCUAUUGGGGUCCGAUUAAGCCAUGCAAGUCGAACGUUCUUCGGAACGUGGCAAACGGCUCAGUAACACGUGGAUAACCUACCCUUAGGACCGGGAUAACCCUGGGAAACUGGGGAUAAUACCGGAUAUAUGGAGAUACCUGGAAUGGUUCUCCACUUAAAGCUCCGGCGCCUAAGGAUGGAUCUGCGGCAGAUUAGGUCGUUGGUGGGGUAAUGGCCCACCAAGCCUUUGAUCUGUACGGGUUGUGAGAGCAAGAGCCCGGAGAUGGAACCUGAGACAAGGUUCCAGGCUACGGGGCGCAGCAGGCGCGAAACCUCCGCAAUGCGAGCAAUCGCGACGGGGGGACCCCAAGUGCCACUCUUAACGGGGUGGCUUUUCUUAAGUGUAAAAAGCUUUUGGAAUAAGGGCCGGGCAAG